GGUUAAGAUAAUAAGGGCGCACGGUGGAUGCCUUGGCACUAGGAGCCGACGAAGGACGUGACAAACGACGAUAUGCCUUGGGUAGCUGUAAGUAAGCGAUGAUCCAGGGAUUUCCGAAUGGGGGAACCCAACAGGUAGUACCUGUUACCCACAUCUGUUAAGGAUGUGAGGAGGAAGACGCAGUGAACUGAAACAUCUAAGUAGCUGCAGGAAGAGAAAGCAAAAGCGAUUGCCUUAGUAGCGGCGAGCGAAACGGCAGGAGGGCAAACCGAAGAGUUUACUCUUCGGGGUUGUAGGACUGCAAUGUGGACUCAAAGAUUAUAGAAGAAUGAUUUGGGAAGAUCAGCCAAAGAGAGUAAUAGCCUCGUAUUUAAAAUAGUCUUUGUACUUAGCAGUAUCCUGAGUACGGCGGGACACGUGAAAUCCCGUCGGAAUCUGGGAGGACCAUCUCCCAACCCUAAAUACUCCCUAGUGACCGAUAGUGAACCAGUACCGUGAGGGAAAGGUGAAAAGCACCCCGGGAGGGGAGUGAAAUAGAACCUGAAACCGUGUGCCUACAACAAGUUCGAGCCCGUUAAUGGGUGAGAGCGUGCCUUUUGUAGAAUGAACCGGCGAGUUACGUUAUGAUGCGAGGUUAAGUUGAAGAGACGGAGCCGUAGGGAAACCGAGUCUGAAUAGGGCGCCUUAGUAUCAUGACGUAGACCCGAAACCAUGUGACCUACCCAUGAGCAGGUUGAAGGUGCGGUAAGACGCACUGGAGGACCGAACCAGGGCACGUUGAAAAGUGCUUGGAUGACUUGUGGGUAGCGGAGAAAUUCCAAACGAACUUGGAGAUAGCUGGUUCUCUCCGAAAUAGCUUUAGGGCUAGCGUCGACAUUAGAGAUUCUUGGAGGUAGAGCACUGUUUGGGUGAGGGGUCCAUCCCGGAUUACCAAUCUCAGAUAAACUCCGAAUGCCAAUGAAUUAUGGUCGGCAGUCAGACUGCGAGUGCUAAGAUCCGUAGUCGAAAGGGAAACAGCCCAGACCACCAGCUAAGGUCCCAAAAUAAUUGUUAAGUGGAAAAGGAUGUGGGGUUGCACAGACAACUAGGAUGUUAGCUUAGAAGCAGCUAUUCAUUCAAAGAGUGCGUAAUAGCUCACUAGUCGAGUGACCCUGCGCCGAAAAUGUACCGGGGCUAAAACAAUUUACCGAAGCUGUGGAUACCUUUAUAGGUAUGGUAGGAGAGCGUUCUAUGUGUGAUGAAGGUAUACCGUGAGGAGUGCUGGAACGCAUAGAAGUGAGAAUGCCGGUAUGAGUAGCGAAAGACAGGUGAGAAUCCUGUCCACCGUAAGACUAAGGUUUCCAGGGGAAGGCUCGUCCGCCCUGGGUUAGUCGGGACCUAAGGAGAGACCGAAAGGUGUAUCCGAUGGACAACAGGUUGAUAUUCCUGUACUAGAGUAUGUAGUGAUGGAGGGACGCAGUAGGCUAACUAAAGCAGACGAUUGGAAGAGUCUGUCUAAGCAGUGAGGUGUGAAUUGAGUCAAAUGCUUAAUUCUAUAACAUUGAGCUGUGAUGGGGAGCGAAGUUUAGUAGCGAAGUUAGUGACGUCACACUGCCAAGAAAAGCUUCUAGCGUUUAAACAUACUCUACCCGUACCGCAAACCGACACAGGUAGUCGAGGCGAGUAGCCUCAGGUGAGCGAGAGAACUCUCGUUAAGGAACUCGGCAAAAUGACCCCGUAACUUCGGGAGAAGGGGUGCUGACUUUAAGUCAGCCGCAGUGAAUAGGCCCAAGCAACUGUUUAUCAAAAACACAGCUCUCUGCUAAAUCGUAAGAUGAUGUAUAGGGGGUGACGCCUGCCCGGUGCUGGAAGGUUAAGAGGAGUGCUUAGCGUAAGCGAAGGUAUGAAUUGAAGCCCCAGUAAACGGCGGCCGUAACUAUAACGGUCCUAAGGUAGCGAAAUUCCUUGUCGGG
rnacentral:rRNA from 1 species